AUUGAACGCUGGCGGCAGGCCUAACACAUGCAAGUCGAGCGAGCGGCGGACGGGUGAGUAAUGUAUGGGGACUGCCCGAUAGAGGGGGAUCACUACUGGAAACGGUGGCUAAUACCGCAUACUAUCGGAUAACCCAUAGGGGAUUGGCUAGUAGGUGGGGUAAAGGCUCACCUAGGCGACGAUCGCUAGCUGGUCUGAGAGGAUGAACGGCAACAUGGGGACUGAGACACGCCCCAGACUCCUACGGAGGCAGAAGUGGGGAAUAUUGCACAAUGGGCGCAAUCCUGAUGCAGCCAUGCGGCGGGUAUGAAGAAGGCCUUAGGGUUGUAAAGUACGUUCAGCGGGGAGGCGUUACCCGCAGAAGAAGCACCGGCUAACUCCGUGCCAGCAGCCGCGGUAAUUC
rnacentral:rRNA from 1 species